GUCAGCUGACCUUGGCUGAUCUCAAAAUGUUAAGCAGUGUCAGACUUGGUUAGCAUCUGGAUGGGUGACCACCAAGAAGUCCCAGGGCUAUAGGCU
rnacentral:rRNA from 1 species